UUAUAAUUCCCAACUAGUUCUAGCUCGAAAAUGCAUGACCUGUGGGCUAAGGGCACUCCAAAAGUCAGUUGACCGGAAGUUCCGGAGAGUGUUUGUGUGUGUGUGUGUGUUAGUGCUAGUGCUCUUGGACAGACCAAUGGACAAUAUGGAGGUGGCACUGGAGUCCAGGAUGCAGUGCAUCGAGAUCCUGACCAGCUAAAAAUGGAUGCUAUGGUCACUCGAAAAACCAGUUGACCGGAAGUUCCAGCGAAUGAUUGUGAGUGUGUUGGUGCUUUUGGACAGAUCACAGGAUAUGUAUGGAUAGAUAUGGAGGAUAUAUAUACGGAGACCAUCGUUCAAGACUUCAGAGCAUCGAAAACUUAUUCAGAAAGCAUAAAUACAUUUAAUUUGGCACUUUUGAGCAAUGUAAAGCGUAUGCGUCCCACUGUGCGGCUGGUACAAUGGGAGCGGCAACAAAAGCGUGCGCCUUGGCCAACAUUUGACCAGACUCGGACAAUACAAUGAUGCAGAUUGCCGUCUCUGGACCUGGGACACUGGACUACGCAGCAAGGACUCCGGACUCAGGACUGCCAAGCCCGGAGCUCAAGGAGUG